rnacentral:misc_RNA from 1 species
AGUUGCUUACAGGAAAUGUAACUGCAGGGCAAUAAAAUUGAUAAGCACAAUUAGAUAAAAGCGAGAUGGGUUAAGAAGAGACAAAACCAAGUGCAUAACGCACCCAAUGCUCCAAAAGAAAAAGGGCAGGAGAAGGAAGUGCCAUAAGUGAAUCCAAAGCAGAGAAACCCAUGCAAGAAAGAAAGAGAGAAGGAAGAAGAGCCAAGA